rnacentral:rRNA from 1 species
UGCAAGUCGAACGAUGAAGUUCCUUCGGGAAUGGAUUAGUGGCGAACGGGUGAGGAACACGUGAGAAACCUGCCUUUCAUUUUGGGAUAACUCCGGGAAACCGGGGCUAAAACCGAAUACUCCGUCUCGGCGGCAUCGCUGAGCCGGGAAAAAAUUUUGAUGAAAGAUGGUCUCGCGGCCUAUCAGCUAGUUGGUGAGGUAAUGGCUCACCAAGGCAACGACGGGUAGCCGGCCUGAGAGGGCGACCGGCCACACUGGGACUGAGACACGGCCCAGACUCCUACGGGAGGCAGCAGUGGGGAAUAUUGGGCAAUGGGCGCAAGCCUGACCCAGCGACGCCGCGUGAGGGAUGAAGGCCUUCGGGUUGUAAACCUCUUUCAGUAGGGAAGAAGCGAAAGUGACGGUACCUAAAGAAGAAGCACCGGCUAACUAUGUGCCAGCAGCCGCGGUAAUACAUAGGGUGUAAGCGUUGUCCGGAAUUAUUGGGCGUAAAGAGCUCGUAGGUCGUUUGCCGCGUCGAUUGUGAAAAUCUGAGGCUCAACCUCAGACCUGCAGUCGAUACGGGCAAACUAGAGUGUGGUAGGGGAGACUGGAAUUCCUGGUGUAGCGGUGGAAUGCGCAGAUAUCAGGAGGAACACCAAUGGCGAAGGCAGGUCUCUGGGCCAUAACUGACACUGAGGAGCGAAAGCGCGGGGAGCGA